GACGAACCGUACGAACGUUAUUCGGAAUCACUGGGCUUAAAGGGUGCGUAGGCGGCGCAGAAAGUAGGGUGUGAAAUCCCUCGGCUCAACCGAGGAACUGCGCCCUAAACUACUGUGCUCGAGGGAGAUAGAGGUGAGCGGAACUUAGGGUGGAGCGGUGAAAUGCGUUGAUAUCCUAAGGAACACCGGUGGCGAAAGCGGCUCACUGGAUCUCUUCUGACGCUGAGGCACGAAAGCUAGGGGAGCAAACAGG
rnacentral:rRNA from 1 species